GUCUACGGCCAUGCCACCCUGAACAAGCCUAAUCCUGUCUGAUCUCAGAAGCUAAGCAGGGUCAAGCCUGUUAGUACUUGGAUGGGAGACCACCUAGGAAGUCUGUAGGUGUAAAAA
rnacentral:rRNA from 1 species